AGAGUUUGAUCCUGGCUCAGGACGAACGCUGGCGGCGUGCUUAACACAUGCAAGUCGAACGGAAAGGUCUCUUCGGAGAUACUCGAGUGGCGAACGGGUGAGUAACACGUGGGUGAUCUGCCCUGCACUUUGGGAUAAGCCUGGGAAACUGGGUCUAAUACCGGAUAGGACCGCGCCAUGCAUGUGGUGUGGUGGAAAGCUAUUUGCGGUGUGGGAUGGGCCCGCGGCCUAUCAGCUUGUUGGUGGGGUGAUGGCCUACCAAGGCGACGACGGGUAGCCGGCCUGAGAGGGCGUCCGGCCACACUGGGACUGAGAUACGGCCCAGACUCCUACGGGAGGCAGCAGUGGGGAAUAUUGCACAAUGGGCGCAAGCCUGAUGCAGCGACGCCGCGUGGGGGAUGACGGCCUUCGGGUUGUAAACCUCUUUCACCAUCGGCGA
rnacentral:rRNA from 1 species